AGAGUUUGAUCCUGGCUCAGAACGAACGCUGGCGGCAUGCCUAACACAUGCAAGUCGAACGCUCGGGGGCAACCCCGGGAGUGGCGGACGGGUGAGUAACGCGUGGGAACCUGCCUCGAAGUUCGGAAUAACCGCGGGAAACUGCGGCUAAUACCGAAUGUGGCCUGAGGGCCAAAGGGGAAACUCGCUUCGAGAGGGGCCCGCGUCCGAUUAGCUAGUUGGUGAGGUAACGGCUCACCAAGGCGACGAUCGGUAGCUGGUCUGAGAGGAUGAUCAGCCACACUGGGACUGCGACACGGCCCAGACUCCUACGGGAGGCAGCAGUGGGGAAUAUUGGACAAUGGGGGAAACCCUGAUCCAGCAAUGCCGCGUGGGUGAUGAAGGCCUUCGGGUUGUAAAGCCCUUUUGGCGGGGACGAUGAUGACGGUACCCGCAGAAGAAGCCCCGGCUAACUUCGUGCCAGCAGCCGCGGUAAUACGAAGGGGGCUAGCGUUGUUCGGAAUGACUGGGCGUAAAGGGCGCGUAGGCGGUCUGAAUCGUCGGGUGUGAAAGGCCUGGGCUUAACCUGGGAACUGCAUUCGAUACGGUCGGACUGGAGUGUGGGAGAGGUUGGUGGAAUUCCCAGUGUAGAGGUGAAAUUCGUAGAUAUUGGGGAGAACACCGGUGGCGAAGGCGGCCAACUGGACCACAACUGACGCUGAGGCGCGAAAGCGUGGGGAGCAAACAGGAUUAGAUACCCUGGUAGUCCACGCCGUAAACGAUGUGUGCUAGACGUUGGGAGACCUAGUCUCUCGGUGUCG
rnacentral:rRNA from 1 species